GACGAACGCUGAAGGCGUGCUUAACACGUGCAAGUCGAACGGUGAAGCGCCUUCCUUUUUGGUGGGUGUGGAUGAGUGGCGAACGGGUGAGUAACACGUGAGUAACCUGCCCCCUUCUUCUGGAUAACCGCAUGAAAGUGUGGCUAAUACGGGAUAUUCUGGGUCUGUCGCAUGAUGGGUCUGGGAAAGAUAUUGUUUCGGUGGGGGAUGGGCUCGCGGCCUAUCAGCUUGUUGGUGGGGUGAUGGCCUACCAAGGCGGUGACGGGUAGCCGGCCUGAGAGGGUGGACGGUCACACUGGGACUGAGACACGGCCCAGACUCCUACGGGAGGCAGCAGUGGGGAAUAUUGCACAAUGGGCGCAAGCCUGAUGCAGCGACGCCGCGUGAGGGAUGGAGGCCUUCGGGUUGUGAACCUCUUUCGCCAGUGAAGCAGGCCUGCCUCGUUUGUGGGUGGGUUGACGGUAGCUGGAUAAGAAGCGCCGGCUAACUACGUG
rnacentral:rRNA from 1 species